GGAAAAGAAACUAACAAGGAUUCCCCUAGUAACGGCGAGUGAACCGGGAAGAGCUCAAAUUUGAAAUCUGGCGUGCUCAGUGCGUCCGAGUUGUAAUCUAUAGAGUCGUUUUCCGUGCCGGACUGUGUCCAAGUCCCUUGGAACAGGGUAUCAAAGAGGGUGAUAAUCCCGUACUUGACACAAUGACCGGUGCUCUGUGAUACGUCUUCUACGAGUCGAGUUGUUUGGGAAUGCAGCUCAAAAUGGGUGGUGAGUUCCAUCUAAAGCUAAAUAUUGGCGAGAGACCGAUAGCGAACAAGUACCGUGAGGGAAAGAUGAAAAGCACUUUGGAAAGAGAGUUAAACAGUACGUGAAAUUGUUAAAAGGGAAACGAUUGAAGUCAGUCGUGACUGAGAGGCUCAGCCGGUUCUGCCGGUGUAUUCCCCUCAGUCGGGUCAACAUCAGUUUUGUUCGGUGGAUAAGGGCGGUUGGAAGGUGGCACCCUCGGGUGUGUUAUAGCCAACUGUCGCAUACAUCGGAUGAGACUGAGGAAUGCAGCUCGCCUUUAUGGCCGGGGUUCGCCCACGUUCGAGCUUAGGAUGUUGACAUAAUGGCUUUAAACGACCCGUC
rnacentral:rRNA from 1 species